AUUCGUCCAAUUGAAGCAGAGGACAGUGGCGGACGGGUGAGUAACGCGUGAGGAACCUGCCUUUCAGAGGGGGAUAACAUUUGGAAACAGAUGCUAAUACCGCAUAAGAUUACAGUACCGCAUGAUACAGUGAUCAAAGGAGCAAUCCGCUGAAAGAUGGGCUCGCGUCCGAUUAGAUAGUUGGUGAGGUAACGGCUCACCAAGUCGACGAUCGGUAGCCGGACUGAGAGGUUAACCCCCACAUUGGUACUGAGACACGGACCAAACUCC
rnacentral:rRNA from 1 species